CUUCGUUCCUAACAACGAUGAUGAGAUGGUGAUUUUCCAUGUCCCGUUCAGCGUCUGGAUCGGCUGUGAAUACGAUAACUUGACUCAUUAUUUUAAAUGUGUAGAUGGUACUCGGAUAGAUUUCAACAGUCAUUGGUGGUCUAAUGGCAAUACCUACGUAUCGCUACAUGGGCGAAGUCCACAAUUUGCAAUUUGCGUAUACACCUUUAACGGUAAAUUAUCUGAUGCCAUAUGUUCAGUGGGAUAUCAAGCUACAAAGUGCGAAGCCGAACCUCUCCCGGACCCUCAACAACAGAAGGAUCGUCGCACGUCCAGCAUCUUUGCACCAGAUACAGAUCGAGAGAGUCGUGCUCUCAUUGGCUAUUGUAGCAAUGAUCACGUGGUAAAGCUGGCGCCAUUAGGAGGAAAGCCACGCUACGCUGUAGUUUGCAAUAAUAAAUGUUACUAGACCGUCAAAAUUCGUUUUUAGAGCAGAUACUUACGUCUGAGGAUGUUUUGAGUAAUACAAUAAUUAAAGAUAUACAAAUAAAUACUGAUUGUAAUAAGUCGAUGUAUAAAAUGCACACGAUGCGAGGUUCUGUCAUUUUACCUCUGCCAUUUCCUAUUUUAACCUGGCACCCUAAAUGUUAAAAUUAAGGGGUGAUUUUAUUUGCAAAAAAGUGAGAUAUUGUAUGUAUGCGAAACCACGCAAAAAUCAUUUCCACGGAAAAAAGAUUCCUCAAUAAAUUAAUUCUUAUUCCUUUUCUUCUCGGGUUUCAAGAUUAUUAGAGUAUCCCGAAGGGUGCCCCCUGUCUGCACCGGAGAGACAGGACGAUGCCUGGACGGUGUCGAAAAAGGGAC